GACGAACGCUGGCGGCGUGCUUAACACAUGCAAGUCGAGCGGUAAGGCCCUUUCGGGGGUACACGAGCGGCGAACGGGUGAGUAACACGUGGGUGACCUACCCUCAGCUCUGGGAUAAGCCCGGGAAACUGGGUCUAAUACUGGAUAUGACUCCAUGACGCAUGUUGUGGGGUGGAAAGCCUUGUGCGGCUGAGGAUGGGCCCGCGGCCUAUCAGCUUGUUGGUGGGGUGAUGGCCUACCAAGGCGACGACGGGUAGCCGGCCUGAGAGGGCGACCGGCCACACUGGGACUGAGACACGGCCCAGACUCC
rnacentral:rRNA from 1 species